rnacentral:rRNA from 1 species
GACGAACGCUGGCGGCGUGCUUAACACAUGCAAGUCGAACGGAAAGGCCCUGCUUUUGUGGGGUGCUCGAUUGGCGAACGGGUGAGUAACACGUGAGUAACCUGCCCUUGACUUUGUGAUAACAUCAGGAAACUGGGGCUCAUACCGGGGAUAAGCUCCUGCUGCAUGGUGGUGGUUGGAGAGUUUCGGCGGUUGUGGAUGGACUAGCUGCUUAUCAGCUUGUUAGUGGGGUAGUGGCUUACCAAGGCUUUGACGGGUAGCCGGCCUGAGAGGGUGACCGGCCACAUGGGGACUGAGAUACGGACCAGACUGCUACGGGAGGCAGCAGGGGGGAAUAUUGCACAAUGGGCGGAAGCGUGAUGCAGCAACGCCGCGUGCGGGAUGACGGCCUUUGGGGUGUAAACAGCUGUCGCAGGUGACGAAGCGGGAGUGACGGUAAUGGGUAAAGAAGCACCGGCUAACUACGUG